GGCAGGAUGGCCGAGUGGUCUAAGGCGCUGCGUUCAGGUCGCAGUCUCCUCUGGAGGCGCGGGUUCGAAUCCCGAUCCUGUCA
rfam:Ciona savignyi cont_17962, whole genome shotgun sequence.